rnacentral:rRNA from 1 species
GAUGAACGCUGGCGGCGUGCCUAAUACAUGCAAGUCGAGCGAACAGACGAGGAGCUUGCUCCUCUGACGUUAGCGGCGGACGGGUGAGUAACACGUGGAUAACCUACCUAUCAGACUGGGAUAACUUCGGGAAACCGGAGCUAAUACCGGAUAAUAUAUUGAACCGCAUGGUUCAAUAGUGAAAGACGGUUUUGCUGUCACUUAUAGAUGGAUCCGCGCCGCAUUAGCUAGUUGGUAAGGUAACGGCUUACCAAGGCAACGAUGCGUAGCCGACCUGAGAGGGUGAUCGGCCACACUGGAACUGAGACACGGUCCAGACUCCUACGGGAGGCAGCAGUAGGGAAUCGUCCGCAAUGGGCGAAAGCCUGACGGAGCAACGCCGCGUGAGUGAUGAAGGUCUUCGGAUCGUAAAACUCUGUUAUUAGGGAAGAACAAAUGUGUAAGUAACUAUGCACGUCUUGACGGUACCUAAUCAGAAAGCCACGGCCAACUACGUG